UUUUGUUUUAUUCUGCUUUUGUAAAAGCAGUAUUUUGAGAUGGUUAUUUGAUCUUCGUUGUUAUUUCUCAUCAAUUCAUUAUAUUACAGCUCAUCAAUUCUUUUUGUGGGUGUGGGUAUAGCUUGAUAGGCCAUAACUUUUAAAUGGUAGAUUCCAUUAACUUUAAAUUGGUAGUUUCACUUGCUUAAUUUUUUUUGCAUAUGCAGAUAAUGCGUUCAUCAGUAGUUAAGGAUCUCAGGGUUAUGCUUUUUUCCCCAAUGGAGGUAUGAAACAUAAUCUUUUCUGCCUUUACUUAUCAUCAUUCACCAAGAUGCUGUUCCCUCUCCAUCUAGGUCAUCGUAUUUGCCAGGCUGGUUAUGACUCAGAAGUUAUCUGAAAAAAGUCUACAGAAAAAAAAAAGGUUUCCCCGCCCUCAUCCACAACACCCCACCCCCUUUUUUAUCAGAAAGGAUUAAAAUAUACAAUUUACAGUAAUUUUGAAGCAUACCUUAACAUCUUGUUUGCAGUUAAUGGAAAAAUACUUUUCCUACACUAGAGAAAAGAAAUUUGCUUAUACACAACUGAAAAUAGAAUCUUACUUGAUAAUAUAAAAGCUACCACCAGGAAGAAAUCCCUUCAGGAUCAUUAAGCCACUUCCUUUGCUCUGAAGCUCCUAUAGUAGUAUUAAGUUAUAUUAAAUCACCUGAAAAAAAUUCCAAAAGAGAACCACACACUACCAUAUCCAAACAACUUUAGCCAUUUUUAAAAAAAUUCCCAAGAUGAUAUCUAAGUCAGCCAGUGGGCUAGACCAACCCCCAGUCCUUAUACUUUCCUUCCCCAGGCCUUACACUAUGAAUCCAGUGGAUCUUCAUGAACUUCCCCAGCUGCCCAAUUCAAAAAUUGGGGGAAAACAAAAACUAGAGGAUUGGGAGUUACUUGCCAACUUGGAAGUUGAGAUUUCUUUAGUUUUUCCAUCCUAAGUAUUUAAGUUCUCGGGCAUGAGUUAUCUGAAAUCAUAAACUAAACAAUUACCUAACCCCCAACCCUCCCCAAUCCCAACCAUUAACAGGCCACUGCCAACUAUCAAUUGCCAAAAUUUGCCCCUCCCCUUUAAUAAAAGUUAAAGAUCACAUUACUUGAAAACUUAACUUCAACAUCUGGCCUAGUCAAGCUCUUCUGAAGUGCUCCUGAGAAGACUGAGUAUGAACCAAAGCUGCACUGUGCUGUACCAUUUCAGCUUCAACUGGGAAUACUCUUCCAAGGAAAAAAGCAGCUCCAAUCCCUGAAGGUGUUCGUGCCAACAGCAUAGCAGUACAAUCCUUCUCUAACCCAGUUUGUCAAUAGUACUAUAGCAUCUGUGGAAAAUCUUAGAAAGAAAAAUUUCUCCCCCAACCCUCUUCCCUGUUAAGACCACCCCAAAGUUAAGUAAAUGUAACGAAUUUAAAGGGUUAUGUAUUAAAAUAUCUGAUGAAUAAAUGGAAAAACAAGAACUACCAGCCAUUUCUCCAAUGGACAGCUCCGCCACAGAACUCAAAAGUGAGAGCUGCUCGUGCUCUAGUUUCUAGAACUGUAAACCUGUGGUGUUCUGAUUAUCCUGAUACUGGAUUUUCUUUUUUCCUGUUACCUUGAGUCAUUUGCCUUUGGGACUCUAGACAGACCUAAGGGGAAAAGAACUCAAAACAUAUUUUUGCGCCCCCAUCCCCACAAAAAACUCUCCCCCCCAUACACAGCCAAACUCCACAUUUAGAAAACUUGAAUGCAGGGUGAAGGAAGAAUAAGGUCAUCUAUUCAAAAAACUGAAAGGCUUCAUUACCCCAAGCUAAAAACUUCUUACAAAACUUGCCAGAAUUUGGUCUCAAGGUUGAUCUACCAAAUUCAUUUGGUUUCCCUCAAAUUGGUUAAAAACAAAACAAAAAAACUUGCCAUCUACCAUUCCUCCAGGCCUUGGAAGUCUGCCCUCAAAAGCUUCAGACAAGAUGAGAAAACAAGCCUGAAAAAGAGAAACCUACGACACCCGGAAAUCGGCCUACACCCCCAUAAAUCCCUUAGCGCUUAAGUACCACAAUUCCCCCGUUACCAUUAGAAAAGCAAAUUAACGUUACCAUACUGAAGUUACAAAAACCACGUUAGCCCAUCUCUGGUAUUUUUACCACACCACUCGUCCUCCCUGGGGCCUCGCACACUGGGAUGCUGCUCUAGGAUCCUCUAUCUAUCCUCCACAGCGCCUGUUCGCCGCCUCCGCGUGGUCGCCAAGCCAAGCUGCCAAGCUGCUCGCUAGCUUCAUCACCACAUCGCACUGGCUCCUCCUUUCUGGAAUCCUCUCCUAGCUUCACCUCCAAAUCGUUAGGGCUCCUUCUUUCUUCCUAGCUUCCUUCCUUCACCAAACAGCACUGGCUCCCGGACUUCGCCUUCCUUCCUAUCUUCACCACGAACUGCAGCUCGCUCCUCAGUCCUAGCUUCACCGACACUGGCUCCUGGAAUCCUGUCUGCCGCUCCUGUCUUCCUAGAUUCACUGAAUCCACUUCUGCGUAGUACCUGGGUCUGCUGCCAAUUAACGCUAGUCCUCAGGAUUUAAAAAACCAUCUUAGCUCAAAGUCCAAUGGGAGAAUGUUAAGUUGGUAGUUAUUCUUGAUCUUGCAUUACUUCAGUUAUGAAAGUUCUUUAAAUUCUCCAAGAACACUAAAAGCUACCAUAUUUAAAGACCCUCACAUUUUUAACUCCAGAAAUAUUCUACUUAAGUAACUUAAGUCUUUUUGGUAGCAAACGCUGUUAAUCUGAUUUUUAUCUUUCCCUUCUAGCUCCUGGGCUAAGCUGGGUCUCGGUCUACAGUAAUUUUAUCACCCUCAAAUCUAGCUUCUGCACCAGAAAUUAAAUUCAUGGGCUUUUGGAAAGAUUCCAUAACUACUUAAAAAUUCUUAGUUUUCCUGUUUUUACUUUUUCCAAUUUUUUGGCUUUAAACUUCUCUUUUUUUUUGACGUCUAUCUUAUGUGCCUAUAUUCAGCGGUUGUCCUAGCUUUUCAUUUUCUACCUGAUGUACUUUCCCUGACCUUAUUUUCCACCUCGUUUCCAAUUUCUGGCUUUCUCAAUUUGUAUCUGAGACCUUGUUGCCUUGUUCUUCUCUAAAUAUUUUUUUCUUCUGCUUCCUGCCUUCGAGGUUUAAAUUAUUUUUGUCUUCUAAAAGGCGUGUAAUUUUUCUUCCAAUUUUCCUAUCUUCUCUAAGUCUUUUCUUCACCUUUACUUCUGGUCUUUUAAAUCUUCACCUUCCUGUACUUCGGUCUUGCGAGUUCUCCACUUCAAUUUUCUAAUCUCUUCAAAUUUUCAUCCUACCACUAAUUAAUAUUUGCAAGUUUUAGCAAGGAUUAGCUUAAGAUCUAGGUGUCAAAUGACGCAAUCACUAACCCAUGAAUUUGAAGGGCUCUUAAAACACCUUCAAGUUAAGCUUUUUAAAAGACAAACUUUUUAAAUCUUUACCAUCUACAACCGGUCUAAAACAUUUAGGCUCUACUUAGGUCAUUUACAUUUCAACGACAACCUGAAAGGCUGCCCUCAGAUUUAAAGGAUUUAUUGAAUCCCGGACUUUGCAGUCCUCUCAACAAUUCUUCUAAAAUUAGAUUUCUUUCCACUCCAUUAAGCUUCAUCUCUUAACCUCCGUCUUUUUCUACAAAGAGCAUUUUCUUUCUCAAGCUACUCUUUAAAAUCUUCAUUGCUUUCCUUUUAAGCUCUUUUUAAGAUUACAAUACUACUCUACGAAUUUAAUGCUAAGCAAUAUCUCAAGAAGUAUUAUCCCUAUUUACGUUUCCUAAAGAUUGCUUUAAUUCCUAGCUUUUUUUUUUUUAAGAAAAACUUAUCUGCUGUCGCCUUAAGCAGUCCCUCCUCCCUCACCAGCCGUCUCUGCGCUCGCUGCCUGAAA
rnacentral:lncRNA from 1 species